rnacentral:lncRNA from 1 species
AGGAGAGAUUUGUGAUCUUACUUAGAUGAUGUGUGAGACAGUAAAUGAAAUGAGGAGCAUUCACUUAAAUGUUGUUGAGCAUUUCUGUCUUCUGGGCUCCAGUAUCUGAGAGUUGAUUAUGAGUUUCUUCUAAUAUCAUAAGAAUGAAGGCAUACAAACAUCUUGAAGUACAAUAUGAAAUUUGUAAGUAUUUCUAGUGAGACUGUGGGAGAAAGCCAAUAAUUGUUCCUGGCAAUAAAUGGAAUAU